AUCACAUACAGAUACAAAUUCUAUAAGAUGAAAGUAAUCAUUAUGUACAUCUAAAAUGUACACCAUAAAAAGGAAACCUAAAAUAAAAAUUCUGACUUUUUUUAGUUAAGUAUACUAAUCUUGUAUACAUUUAGAACAAACAUAAUUAAAAUGAUAUGCUGUCAGAAGAUAGAGGUUCGAGCUCUUAUUCUCACACUUGGCAAUCACAUAAGCUUAGAAACCUGACUUUCUUAAUUUUAAUUUUACAAUCAGUGAAUAGAUUUAAUGAGAUAACUUUUAUAAAGUCACAGUGUAGGUUGUUUUGAUCGAAUAUUUUAAAACAUAUUAUACAUAAAACAUAAAAAAUAUUUUAAAACAUUUAAAACUUGAGAAGACUUCAUAAUCUGUGAAAGUACACAUUGACCAGUGUUUCAUAAAUUAAGUAUUUAAGCACAACAAAAGUAUGCCUGUUUUAAUAAAUGCAUAUUAUCAUGUUUACUGGGACACUAACCAACAUCCUAGCAGCCAUAGAAUUUACACAACAACAGCGUUCAGACUAAGUUUUUUACUGUCUGUGAAACUCCAUUGUGCCUUCCUCGACACUUAAAAUGAUUCAGUGGGGGCCAGGGAUUUAGCUCACUGGCAUAAACACCUGCCUGGCAAGCGCUAGGUCGUGAGUUAAAUCCUGGGUAUCAAAAAAAAAAAAAAAGUGAUUUGAUGAAGCUGAGGGUUCAGCCUCUUGGUUCCAGCUCUUCCUGGUAGUAUACUAGAGGUGGUUUCCAUCACUGACCAGAACUGACCAAGUGCAUUACUUCUCAAUAUGAAACCAAUGGCAGUAGCUAAAGAUUGUCCAUGGGAAAUGACAUAAUCAUUGAAAUUGACACAAGUUAAAACCAGCCUUCACUGCCUACCAAGAAGGCUAAAGGCAGCACACCUAUCUACUAUGUUUUUUCCAUAGUGCUACUGUUCUUCAUCCAACUGUGAUAAACUGAGCGUCUUCCAUACAUUUUGGUAGGCAAUUUCGCCUUUCCUCACAGCACAAACUGAAGCUGUGUCCCUCUGACACCAAAAUAAAAAGAUCCUAUCAUACUAGGUAUAAUAAAAGUUGAUACCACACAGAAGCAGGACUUUGAUCUCUUAGCUCUUUAAUCACUUCAUGACACUACUGGGGACCUAUUCUUAAAACAUAGUGAUACUGCUUGCUGGCAAAAACUGCUAUAAUCUUUAUACUAGAGAAACUUGGAUUCUUUAGUUUAAAUUUUCUUUAAUGCAUUAAAGUCAUCAGAAUUUAGUGUUAGUCUUCUAAAUUAAAAUCAGUUCACUGAGUAAGGACAGGCAGAUAGGAAAGGGUAUCAGGUCGUGCCUCUUUUCCCACUAUAUUAUUUGCAGAAAGCCAGAGGUUGAAAUAGUAAGUUGCAGGGGCUGGGGAUUUAGCUCAGCGGCACAGGUGCCUGCCUUGCAAGCAGGCAGUCGUGAGUUCGAUCCCUGGUACCGAUAAAAAGGAAAAAGACAAAAAAAAAAAAAAAAAAUAGUAAUUGCACAAAGCUAAGAGAAUGGAGCAUAGGAGGAGGGACCAUAUUAUUGCUGCUCAAUGAUCAAUUAAUGAACAAGGAGUCAUUCUCUCUUCCUCUUUCUCCCUCUCCCUUUUCUUUCUUUCAGUAUCUCUUUCUGUUUCUGUGUUUCUCUUUCUAGCUCCCUCCUGCUCCAUCUCCUCCUUCUCUUUUUCUCCCUCCUGAGUAUACAUACAGAGGAAAGGUAAGCUGAGUUCACAGCAAGAAGGUAACUGCUAAUAAACCCAGAAAUGAUACUUUACCAGUAACCAUCCCAGAAGGCACCUUGACCUUGCACUUGUAGCCCCCAAACUGUAAGCAAAUUAGCUUACAUUGUUUAUACCACCCAGUCUGUGGUACUUCAUUAUGACAGCCAGACAGACAAAUGCACUCUAGCUUUGUAUGUAUUUCUGGUAUCAGAGAAAUGCUGGAACAGUGACAGUGAGCCUUGUGGAGACUGAGUGACAAAUUGCAAUCUCAUCUCAUUUAUUUAUUGCAAAGUGCCAACACUGUAAUUAAACCUGAACACUGAAGUAUUAGAUUAGAAAAUACAACUUUACAUUACUAUCUUUUGUCUUAAAAGAAAAACACAAUAUUAUGUGUGAUAUGGAUUCACCACCACUGUACUAAAGGGACAUGAUUACCUCAAGGGCUGUAUUAAAAAUGAAAUCUGAGAAGGAAAUAAGGCCAGUUUUAUAUGACAAAAUUUCAAGUACAUUGCAAAUGAAAACAAUAAAUUAGAAAAAGUUUUCACUUCACUAUUUUCUAAUUGCUUCAGUUUUUGAAGCCUUCCUUCCUAAAAUUAAAAACCUAAAAAUUACAAAUAUAUAGCUACUGGUAGAGAUAACUGCCAGGAAUGAUAGUGCAAUCCUAGGAUUCCUGCACUCCAGAAGUUUGAGUCAGAAGAACCAUGUGAACUUUCAAUGCAAAGUCUUGGGUUCAAUCCCACUAUAACAAUAACAACAAAAUAGCGGGUUCCAUAUUAUGCUCAUGAGUUAUUCUUCUUCCCUGAAGUUUCUUAGUAUCAGAGUCAUUAGGAAGAAUCAAGCACAUUUCCUGACCACUAGAUGCCAUGUGUCCUACCUAUAGUGCAAGGAGAAUUACCAUGAGGACCCUCAACUCUGUGUCCCCACUGCAUCAGCGAUGAGCACUGCAGAGGCCAUGGGAAGGACAGAUGACCUGAGUGUAGCCCUUUCUUGGCCUUCCAAAGCUACUCUCCAUCCUUCUCAAACUGCUCUUUGUCUUUUGAAAUGAUCAGUGAGGAUAGUGUCAAGAAAUCUCCAUAGCUCUUCAUUGUCUGGGUGUGUCUGCCCACAGAGUGUAUCAAGGACUUAGAAUGGAGUAGGUAGGUAAGGCCUGUAUCCCGCACUGUCCCUGUCCUUUUCCAGAUGACUGAAGAUUGACUGUGUUGUUGUGGUGCAGAUCACAGCUCCAUAGGUAGCUCUAUUUGCUACCUUCUCUGACUUUAUUUUACCUGUCCUUUUGUUUGUACUUUAGACCUAGCUUGGCAGAAAGCUUCUUCUCCCUAGUGACUGUACCCACCCUUAUUAUUUCCUUAGAUACUGCCUUUAGCUUUAUAAAUACUAUCUGUACUAAAUUCUUCUGAAUUAGCCAUUUCGAGAGAGAUAACUUCCUUAUGCCCUAAUCCUGACAAGUGCAAUAGCCCAUGAGGGACAACUAUAUAGCUGUCAACAAACAAUUCCUCUGCAAAACAUAAUUCAAGUAAGUAUGUCCAAGUACAUUCUCAACUCAGGACCUUUGUGCUGAGUAUUUUCUCCUCUGAAGAAUGCUUUCCAAUUUCCUCAUGAGGUUUUCUCCAGUUGUCAUUUCUGAGAUUUCUUUCCAAAAAGUUCUUUCCAGAAAGUUUUUUCAUACACCAAAAGUCUCCCCUCUCUUCUCAUCAUUGUUCUGUUUUCAUUCAUUAAAAUAUCUGUCAGAAUCCAAAUGUUUACUUUAGACUGGUUAUUGUCAAUCGUCCAUCCCAAAACUACAGGCUCAGUAAGAUUGGAGACCAUGGCUAUAUUACCACAUCCUAUGUGUCCAUAACUAGACCUGGGCACAGGUCAAUAAUUGUACUUGUCCACCCCACACGCCUCGCUUCUUCUAUACAAAUUCAUACGUUCACAAUACCUUCUCCACAAUGCACAGAUAAUAUUAGUCUAGUUUAUAACCUAAUUUAAUUGUUGGUUCAUGCAGACUCCUUGGAUAAUAUUUUCACUGAAUUACAUGCAUAAAAAUUUUGGAAGUAGUAACUAAGGCCAUACUAUUAUUCUACAACCUAGGUUCUUCAGACUCUUAAAUACUACGCUUUGACUAAUGAGUAAACCAAUGAAUUAUCUUAUUAAUAUGACCCAUCAUUCUAAAGAAAGAAAUCGGACUUUGGAGGAAGUGUCUCAAUCACUGAUUUCAUUUGGCCCAUUUCUAAGUCUUUAAAUAAAAAGUAAAGCAUCAAUAGAGAGUUUAAAGAUAAUGAUGGAAUGCUUAGUAUUAAGUGAAAGAAAAACCAAGUAUAUGACAUGUGAGAGGAUUUGAUGGCUUCACAAAGAAGGAUUUGGUUGUUUUGCCUUUCACCUACAGUACAUAAUUACAAUUAUUUUGGCUCCAGUGUGGUACAUGGGGACUGUGGAAGGACUGAGCAUUUUAAGAAUUUUGAACAUCUCUACAGUUGUCUCUGUCUUAAUUACAUGAGAGGAAAGCUUUUAUUUUAACUCUGGCCAAGGAAACCCUAGUCAUAAGACUGUUUUUAUUUGACGGAAUGUUUACUCUGCCGAGAAAGAGACAGGACUGCACGCAGUUGAUGAGCCAGCUCUGAAGUGGUUGUUCACGAGUAGCUAGAGAGAUCCAAGGAACAUGCCCGGAAAAGUUGCCAAAAUUGUCAUGACACCAGGGUCAUAGAUCAAAUCCAUGACCUUGAAAAUCUUGGGAAAUUCAUGUUUACAAAACACAUAGCACAAUCAUGAAACUUCUGAAGACGUUCUCCAAACAGUCAUCUAUUCCAAAUAGCUACGUAGUAUUUCACUAUGAAUAAGAUGCUAAUGUUUCAAAGGCUAUGAAAUCAAGCAUGCUUAUAUAUGCAGAUUUCAGCUACAGAGAAAUACUUGUCCUGAAUCAACUAUGCAUACCUUUUCUUUGCACAAAUGUAACCCAACUGCCAGGCAGCUGAGAAAUAAAGGCAAACGCUGGGAACAAAGCAUGGCACUAGGGUCAAGAGAAAUUUGAUUCACGAUGUGAAGGUCCAUGCUACUUCUGGCUGACAUGAGAUGUUUACUCCUCAUGAAGGACAGAGGGAAUAAGCAUUGAUUGUGAGCUCACUUGAAAGUCUCUCACACCCAAUAAACUGUGCUGCGUUUCAGAGGUCUGGUUGGGAUCAGCUGAAACCAUCCUAUCAGUAUGAUUCCACUGUAUGUUCUAAGAUAAUCUGGCAUGGUUACAAAUACUGUUUGAACAAUAAAAAAUCUUAUUUUGCAACACUAGGUGAUAAUUAAAGACUGUGACAAGAGUCUGGAAUUCAACAUCCUUGUCUCAGGUCAUCCACUGUUUACUGUGAUAUCUUUCUUUUGGUUCCCUGAAUUGGUUCCAUUUACCUACUCUGUACAAGCCAGUUUGCUAGAAAAUGGAACUAUCAAGAUAAAUAAGAAAUUCAGCACAUUAAAAAAAAAAAAAAAAGAUUUUGGGGCUGGGGAUUUAGCUCAGCGGCAUAAGCGCCUGCCUUACAAGCAGGCAGUCGUGAAUUCGAUCCCUGGUACCGAUAAAAAGGAAAAAGACAAAAAAAAAAAAAAAAAAGAUUUUGUAGUCUCAUUACGGUAAAAUAAAACCUAUAGCAUGGGAAUACACAGGAUCAACUACAUGAGGAGGAGUUAAGUCUUAGAGCUGAAUGAAAACCUAGAAUUUACAAAGUCUGAUCAAAACACAUGAAGACUCCCACUGAAUGCCAUCCGAAAACACCUUUUAUCUUUAGUAUGAGAAGCAAGAAGCAAGUGUAGAACCACAGCAACAGUGUGGGACAAGUUUCAACUUGUUCAUGAAAUCAGUUAUUGAUUGGAAUUUGUUAUUGAUUGAGAAAAGGUAUGUUUUAAAGUGUGCAAUAAACCAUGGAUCACAAACAACAAUUCUUAUUGGAGUUGAUCAAUUUUGCAUCUUCAGGUUCCAAAUUUUACACAUUGUCACUAUGCGAGAGAAAACGUGGGUCUAUGGUUAUGAGCCUGAGACCAAUAACCAGAGUGUCAGUGGCAAUCGUCUAGUUCUCCUUGUGGAAACAAUGUGAAUCAAUCAAGAUUCAACACCAGCUAAUAAUAACUGUGUUUGAGACCUUGAUGGAAUUGUGGGAGCACAGUUUGUAUCCAGUAACAUUAUAGAAAACUUUGAAUAUUCACAGAUAUAUUAGAGUGUUGUAAAGCAAUGCAUGUUGAAAAUGGUCUGAGAAAUAGGUGGACAGUUUCAUGUUCUGAGGGGCAAUUCUCUGUUACAUACUAUUGGCAUUUUCUGUCAAGUAACAUUAUAGUCUGCCCUGUUCCAAUUUAGACCCUGGCACUGUGCAAAGUCAAACUGCUCAUAAAGAUAAUUGCUUCAAAUUUAUUUAGAACACUGAGGCAGCCACUAUAGCAUAACUAAAGACAUUCAUGAAAAGAAAUUUCCAGAAUUGCUUCAGAAAUAGGCAAGAAUUGUGGGAUAAGUGUGUUUGAAGCAAAGAGGAGAAUGCAGGGAUAUAAAGGGGGAUUCAGGACAACAUGCUUUUUCUGUAUUUUUUUAAAUUUAAGCAUUCACCAUAUUAUCUGACCAUACCUCAUCAAAAUCAUCUGUACAGAGCAUAUAGAAGAUAGUACAAUUGCCCUGUUUGAUUGAGUCUUUCAUUUUGCACUUCCAACUUUUUUGUUAUUUAAAUAGUUUAGUUAUUAAUCCUGUGCUCUAAAAAUAUCUGGCCAUUUUUUUCAUGCUGUAGGUUAUCUCUUAACUCUAUUGAUUGCCAGCUAAAUCUUGGAGGCAAACUGUAUGUCCAUCAGCUAAUGAAUGGAUAAAUAAUACAGCAUUUUUACACGGUGGAAUACUACUGUGUCAUAAAGAAUGAAAUGAAUGUGCCUUCAGACCAUAAUAUUUACUGAAAUAAAUCAGGUCCAUAAGUUUAAAUAACACAUGGUUUCUAUUUAUGAGAAACCCCAAAUAUAAUUAAGGACCAGAAUAAAAGACACAAUAGGGAAAAAAAAGAGAUUUUUUUUUUUUUUUUUUUGCAAAAAGGAAAUAUGCCAAGAGACCCUGGAAUUGGGGAGGGAGGAGAAGAAAAUAAAAAGAGAAUUAAGGUUUAUUAUGUAUGUGCACCAACUCUACAUGGGGAAUGUAAUUGUCAUGUGAUCUAAACAUGUACUAAUAAAAAAUAAAAACUGAAUAAAAGCAGAGAGUACAACCUAGACACUUACUUUCACUCUUGACUUGCAUUUGAUUGCUGACAUAUACUUGACACUUUAGUGAAGGCAUAGUUUAUAACCUUUUAUAAAUGUCUUUCUAAUGAAGAUCUGUAUUAAACAUCAAUGACUUGUAAGCCAUACAAUCUCUGGAGGGAAAAAUGUCUCAGAGGUGAAAAGCAUGUUUGAAAUUGUACAGAAAAUAUACAAAUGAAACUGCAUCAUUUGCUUCUAUAGCAUAGCAUUUAGUAUAUUUUUGACUUAUAUUAUCAACUACUUUCUUAUUUCUUAGAAGAUGUAACUGAUGUGUUAAGAAUGUGGCUAGCACUGGAAACCAAACACAUAGCAUGCUCAAAAUAUCUUUUCAACAAUUUUGGGUUUUCAUAUGAAGCUGCAUCCACCAGUAUAAUCUCUAAUGAAGGGGAAUGCAAGAUUGAUCAAACAACUAUAAUGGUCAUGGAAGGAAAAAUAGAUUAAAAACUAAGAAAUUAAAGGUUAAAAUCCUUAUCUGUGUCUCUUAAAUCAUCAGCACACAUGACACCCUUUACAUAUUACUGAAAAACUAAUUAAUUCAUUAUUAGUCUCUAUGACAAAAUAGUGAACACAAAAGACCUCAAAAGUUUUCAAAACAAAAAUGGAAUCCUUUAUACCAACCCCAACAACAAAUAAAUAAGACCAGGAAGUUAUGAAAAGAGAGUCUCAUCAUAACCACCUGAUUGUAACUAUCACAAAGGACUUCCAGAACCAGUCAACACAAAGACACUGCAACCUGUACAAAUGUUCUUCAACAAGGGCAUCUCUAAUCGCUGUGGCUAAGGGUCAUAGAAUUAGCUGAUGGAGACUUCUUCUUUUUACCUUAAAAAUUUCUCCUUGCCUCUACCUUUCUGAAUCUGUAUAUAGUUUAGAAGGAUGUAUGUUUUCCCUAUGCAUUCAGCCAUCCUUCACAUAUCUAGAACAAUGGUGAAUAAUGGUGGAGAAGAAAAUGAGAGAAAAGAAUAGGAGGCGCCCACUGUAUGCUAAACACUUGCUAGAUCUUUCAAAUAAAAAGCAUGUAAUCCUUAAAACAACCCUGUACAUUGUAUAGUAUUAUUGAUUCUACUGAUAAGAAAAUGAGUGUACAAAGAACAUUCACUUGAAAGAAGCAAAGGAGAAAUAAGAUGUUGUUCGGCUCAGACGCAGUAAGCAUUAGAAACUAAAUUCUCCUCCACAUGUUGAUGUAUUAUUUUUAACACAUUUACUAAAAAUCACAAUAGGCAAAGUGCUUACUUAAGAAAUGUCUCUAUUAACUUUUACAUGUAUGCCCAUUUCCAUUGGAUGAGAAAACUGAAUUACGCCUUGGAAAAAUAUAAUGAAAAAAAUCCAGAAAACUGCUUCACCAAAACUGCCUAUAAAUGAUCUCAGUUCUGUUUUGGAAGAAACCACUCCCUGAGGAGAAAUGAAAACUGGCAAGAUUCUUGCAUCCCUGGCACAUUGUUUUUCUAUAAAACUGCAGAGCUGCCUUCAGUGAAUGUUUUACGAACACAAAAGUUGUUAUAUGAAGGUCCUGUGUCAGAAGAUUUCUUCUAUUUUUUUUCCUUGGGAAAUAUUUCAAGUUCAUGAUAUUUAAAGACAUCUGUGGGUUCAGAAAAGCCUAGCAAAGUCUGAAAGACCAUACUGCCACUUCAGUAUGCUAAGAGAAAUUAGUCACUCACACUGAAAAAUGAAAAAUAUAUCUGAACAUUAAAUGAAGAAAAUGUAAAGAGAUCAGAAUGGGUAGAGAUAGCUGUGGUGGAGAGAAACAAAAUUGUGCUCUAUCAAAUCCUACCUAAUAGUUCGUCUUCAGAUCAUGAGAGUUGAACAGAAUUUGGGGGGUGGCAGUUUUCGUUCUACUUUGCCUCACUUUUUAAAAUAAGUUUGCCCAACAUUAUGACACACAUGUUCCCAGUUACCAUAAUAGACUACAUAUGUAAUGUUAACUUCAUCAUUUCAGAGCUCGAUUUGCAGAUUCUACAUUUUAUUCAACUCCUAGCCCCCACCCCAAAGGAGACAGGCUGUUAAUCCCCAUCCUCUGUGGGAAGCUUAUACUAUGGCUGGCAAAAUGUGAGAAAAAAGGCUUUGUAUUCCAGUUGCCAUGUUAGCUGUGAUACACACACAUAUACAUACUCCAGUGUUGUUCUUCAUUAAUUCAUUUUGGAAUUCAUAAUGCAACGUUUCAGCAUCGUCUCAGAGAAGCUCCGAGAUUUCUUUAGAUGUGCAAUAUGUUCACUUUAUAGCAGAGUCUCCAGUUCAAGUGAAUAGGAACCCUUACAUCUGUACGCUUUAGGCUUAAUCUUAAACUUCGGGUCUAGUGUGAUUUCAUAUUGGAAAGCCAAAACGUCUCAAUUGGAAGGCUGAAAAAUCUGAGCUGGAAGCCGGAAGCAAUUGGAGACAAAUGUUCAAAGGCAAUUGUGAAGACCAGAGUUGCUCCAAACAAGUGAAAAGAGAAACUUCCUUCUUUUUUCUCUUUUUACCUUUAUCCAGACUCUAAGCUUAUUGGCUGGUGCACCCACAUCUGAGGUCCUGAGAUGCAAGUCACCUUUGCCCACAGUGGGCAGAAUCUGGUCUUGGAACAUUACGUUGGAGCACAUGGUGAACUUUGGCUCACUUGGCAGAGGUUUGCAAGUUGACUAAUUGAAAACUGAUGUACAGUCAAAUCCAUAAGCAUAAAGUAAGCAAAUAAAGCCUUUUGGAUCAUUGCAGGUAAAACUGCCAUCCGUAAAUCCACAGUCUUCUUUUUACCUGUUCUCUACCUCUCAACCUAUACUAUGCUGAAAAGACAGUCUUAGUCAAAAAAGAAACAAGGAAAAUCAGAAAAGAAUGGAAUAUUCUGUGGUAUUCCUAGUUAACAGUGGCUUCUCUGGUGAGAGUCCCUAGAAGAAUUAAGUCCUGUUUCUAAUUAGUUUAGCCACACCCGACACUGUGUCCUCCACUUGAAAAUUAUACCAUAUGGUAAAGACUACAGCUAAAGAAUAAAUAUUGAUUUUAUUUGAGCUGCAUGCAUGCCCGCACGAUUUCUUGUUACUUAAGACACAGGGGAAGACCUGCUCCCCCCACAGGCUGUGAGUUUAACCUUAGCAGGAAUCCUAUUUUAUACAUACUCUCCACUCAUCCACCCCUAGGCCCAUCAGUAGUAUUUGGACAAGAGCUUGGUACCUAGUUCCUGCUCAAAGAAACUACUUAAUCAUGGAACUACUUUGAACUCUGCCUGAAGAUGCUCAAUUUUUUUUUUUUUUUUUUUUUUUUUUAGUUCUAUCAGCUUUAAGACUAACAAGAAGAAAAUAAAAAUGACAAAAGCAAAGAUCUGUGUCUUACAACCAAAGUUUGUGUACUGGAUAGAUGAGGGUAUUUUAGUUCAUUAGGCCACCUCUCAAUAAACUUCUUUUUUUUUUUUUUUUUUAAAUAAACUUCCUAAUUGUUCCUUAAUAGCCAACUUUAAUUAUUUUCCAGAAAUCUCUCUGGACAGGUUUCCCCUAAAAAUGUUAUAGUGUUAGGAAUAUUUAUUCUGUGGAUUUUACUCAAUGUCACAAACUCAGCCCAGCGCUUCACCAGUGGGCCUGUGCAUUAGAUGCACAGUAUCAUUUUUGUGACUAAGGGCUACUGUUGAGCUAAAUGAAAUGGCUUUUGUAAUGCAAGAUCUCACAAGAGGAAAGUAGAAGACAAAUGAGCAGUGGCUACAGAACCACAAUAUAACCUCAUUUUAAUCUUUAGCAUUCACCCGUCAGUGUAUACAGCUGAUAGGUUGGUAAGCAGACUCAGAAUAGGUCAGUUCAAACCAAAUUUGAAUCAAGUGGUGGCAGCUAGUGAUAUGGUGGUGAAUUUCAGUGGCUACAAACACUGGCUUUGAACUCAGACAAGCCUGCGGUCCCUGCGUUAUCUUGUGUGGUGCCUCAGCACAAAAUUCACAGGGAGAUUAAGGACGCAGCCCUUGGAGAGAAGUAUUUCAGUGAGGGGCACUGCUGGGUCAGCAGCAGGAUGUAUCAUUGACCUUGAUCUUUGAGCUGCAGGUUUCAAUUCUCAGUUGUUGUCUAUUCCUGUUUCACUGUAAAUGAACAAUAUAAUUGAGUGACUAAAUACUAAGUACCAAGUCUCCACUCCUUAAAGUCUGGUUGGAGAGAGAGAGACUAAACUCUCAAAACAAAAACUGCAAACCAACACGGAAGGAGAAGACAUGGAUAAAGUGUGGAAGCAAUGAAAAUGCAAUGCAUCUGCCUGUGAACACCAAAGCGAAGUGGACGUGGGCCUUCAAGCAGAGGGCAGGUGGCUGCACAGGGUAGAAGGAAAAGGAAUUCUUAGGGGAGAAACUAAAAUCAGGGUGUGAGAUAGCUUAAGAAGUGCUAGAAAAUAAUUACUGUUAUAUUCAGAACAAAAGCAUAGAGGAAAGAAUAAAAAUUAAAGAUGGAGUAAAAUAUUAGAAGAAAUCAAAAAAAAAUUUUACUUAUGCUUUAUGUAAUUGACAAUUGUAAGAAAAAAAUUGAUAGGUUUAUAACUGUAAUUUAAAGACUUGUUUGUCCCCCAGAUCAAUAAGUUUCAUGACAACCAAUCAUAUUUUCCCAUUGCAAGGUCUUUAAUAUUAUAAUUCUUUUUGUAUUUCUCGUACAUUGACAGGUCUUCAUUAUGUCUGGAUAUGUAAUGUAACCUAACCUUGUACACAGGUAAUUUUUACCUGGCUGUUUAUCUCUCUUCCUUGAAACUUUUCUGAAGAUGGAACAGGCAAAAUCUAAACUUCAGUUAAGCUUCAAUUUUUAAAUUGCAUUUUUUCUACAGUCAUUAUAGCUUUACUCAUGCAAACACUUCUCUUUACUUCUGCAUGUAUGUGCUAGUACAUGUGUGUGUAUAGAAAUCACAUGGUUAGAGCUUUGAAAUACACAAGCAUGUAAUCGCAUAAGGUGAAAAGGGACUGUAUUUGUAUACAAUCACAAGCUCUAACUAUGUGAUGUCUGUACAGGAAACAAAAUAGGGAAAGAAUCUGCAUUCUCAAAAAUCAGAAACCUGGCAUCCUACUAGAUGCCAACUAAAGUUCACAUUCCUGGCUGACUCUAAAUUAUACUAACUUUUCACUCAGAGGCUUCCAUUUUUGUACCAAUAUUGAUACCAUGUGAGAGGUGAACCCAAAGAAACAUUAAAUCAGGAAAAAAAAAAAUCCUUGGAGGUCAUAUUGGAAAAUAGCUACCAUAUACAUCUUUGUAUUACACUAGAAAAAUGGUCAAGUCAGCCACUGACUGAAAGGGUGAAUAACACUGUCUUCCUAAGGAUCAAGUUUGAAAAGGAUCAGAUUACUUAAAGUUACUUUAAAAUAUAACUUUACUAGAAUGAACUUAUGAUUGGCUAAUUUCAAAGUCUUUAGGUUAGCACUCUCCAGUAGAACUUCCUGCAUUGAUAGAAGUAUUCUAAUCACUUCUCGGCCUUUUGGCUAAGAUCAAGUAUAGAUAAGUGCUGUGUAACUAUAUUACCCAAAGAGCAGCCAUUAGUCAUCUCUGACAACCCAGAACUUGUAAAAUAGCUAACAUAAUUAGAUAAAAAUAUUUAUUUCAUUUUAAUUAUUUCAAAUUUAUUCUUAAAUAACUUCACAUGACUAGGGAUCUCAUAUUGGUUAGUACAGAACUAGAUUUACACUCCUUCAUUUCGAUCUGACAGAUUUAAAUCACUGAUUUUUCAAAAUGAUGUUUUGGGACAAAUAAUAAAGCUCUAGGAUUUAAUUACAUGGAUUCUAAUCUGGGUUCUUCAUUUAUAAGUCAUUUGGCCUUGGGUAUUAGACUUCACUAGUCUGCCUCGAUUUCUGCAAAGGCAAAACAAAACUACUCCCACGGAACUGUACUGAGGAUAGUGCCUCACACAUAAUAAAGUGGCAAAUGUUAGUUGUAAUUAUAAUUUGUGUACAUGUAGUCUUUUAUACCAAAGACCUUUGUUAGCAUAUAUUCUCCAGUAUCAGGUAUUACUUAAUUUAGCAUGAAUAGCUGUAAAACCAUCACGUAACAGAAAAUAAUGUAUUCAGUGUAACUAGUGCAUUUCCCACACAGCAGCUUUAGAAGAUUUUUCUUUGAAAACAGACAAGCCAUUAGCUAGAACAUCUUUUUUCUCCCUUCAAUUUGACAUCAAAGUGUUUUGUUUUGUUUUGCUUUGCUUUGCUUUGCUUUGUUUUGUUUUGUUUUAGUGUCUUCGUUUGUUGGUUUCGGUAAUAUUUCUGCUAUAACUUUGAUGAUCAUUAUUAUGAAAAAGACCAGGAGAGUGGCAUUAACUAAAUCCAUAAAGCUUGUAAGUGUUCAUUUGGAAUUAUUGUUAGUUGAAAGAUAAGAAUAAUGUAGACUAUUCCCCGAGGAAACUAAAUGUUUCAAUUCUGUACCUGUGAAUGUGAAUUUAUUUUAUUUCCACAGCCAACACUAAAACUGUAUUAGUCUCCUCUAGAGGAAUAAGUGUAAGAGCAGUUGCUGGCAUUAAAAGUAAAGCAGCCUUUUCAUUUAAUAUAGACUGAAAUAAAUUCAGAUUGAGUAUUUACUGUAUAAAGAAAAAUAGUUGCAAGGCUUUUAUAAAACAGCACAUAGGAGUGUGAGUUUUCUGUUUUAUUUUAUGACUACAUACACACACACACACUCACAUGAAUACACAAACAUGAUUGUAAGUUAGGGCUAGAUUGAGUACUACAGAGUAUACAUGAUUUAUAAACUUCCCCUUUAUAAUAUAGUGUGGAUCCAUUCUCAUUAUAGUUUCUUUUCUUCCAUAAGAGAAACUGAAAACAUCUUUAUGAAUUUGGUCAGUAUUUUAUGUCUACACUUUGUCUGACUUACACAAUAACACAAUAUAUUGUAACACACCAGUCCAAAGGAUUGCACCAUCUUUGUUUUACAUGUCUCGCUUCCUCAUACCAUGGUUCAGUUUAAAGAAUCCUUAAGAAGAUCAAUCUAAAUAAGUAACAAGUUAGCUUUCAGGCAAACAAAUAAAUUUGCAUUGUUUUAUAUUCAUCAUAAAUAUUUCACUUAAUUACUGAGGUACCUUGUUCAGAAACACAAAAUAACAUUAUAAAUUAAUUAGCACUGUCCCUGCUGAUUUUUUAAGUUCUGUUGGAAUGUAAAACACAAAAAUAAAAACAAGCAGUAGAUCCAACCAGAGUACACAUCAUACGCCAAUGCUAAAGUCCACAAACAUUUCAGAGUAUAAUUUGUGGGAUAUAUUUUCAACCACCAAUGUUUUGUCUUUUAUGAGUUAUUGCCUUAUUUAUUCUCAAAUACAAGGUCAAAGAAACCAUCUGAUCUCUACAGAAACCUUCAUUAUUUUAAAAAUGAUUAAACAAAGUAUAUUUUUUUCACUGCAGAGUAACAAAAUUAUUAUAGAGCUAAAUAUACAUUUUCAAAGAUUUGGGAGUUGAUGGGUGUAAAACAA